UACGUAGGGUGCGAGCGUUAAUCGGAAUUACUGGGCGUAAAGCGUGCGCAGGCGGUUCGUUGUGUCGGUGGUGAAAGCCCCGGGCUUAACCUGGGAAUGGCCAUGGAAACUGGCGAACUGGAGUGUGGCAGAGGGGGGUGGAAUUCCACGUGUAGCAGUGAAAUGCGUAGAGAUGUGGAGGAACACCGAUGGCGAAGGCAGCCCCCUGGGUCAAGAUUGACGCUCAUGCACGAAAGCGUGGGGAGCAAACAGGA
rnacentral:rRNA from 1 species